rnacentral:rRNA from 1 species
UACGUAGGGGGCAAGCGUUGUCCGGAAUCAUUGGGCGUAAAGAGCGUGUAGGUGGCUCGGUAAGUCCGCUGUGAAAGUCCAGGGCUCAACCCUGGGAAGCCGGUGGAAACUGUCGAGCUCGAGUCCGGAAGAGGCGAGUGGAAUUCCUGGUGUAGCGGUGAAAUGCGCAGAUAUCAGGAGGAACACCAAUGGCGAAGGCAGCUCGCUGGGACGGUACUGACACUGAGACGCGAAGGCGUGGGGAGCGAACGGG